UCAAAAGUCAACGACUGCUGUCAUAAGGAGCGCAGGAGCAGAGCUUCUCUAAGAUCAAUUCAGCCUGCCUUCCUCCCUCCACCUUGUCUGCUACCUCACUGAAAUAAAAUUAAUAGAAAGACUCUACCUGUCUCCAACUCCACCUUAAGAAGGAGGGCCCGUGUAGACGGAGAAAACCGACUUAAACAAAUGCGGGAUGACGCCACAAAUUUAAUUGACUUUCAGAUGACAACAGAGAGGAACCUUGACCAUGGACACAUCAGUGAAGAGCAUUUUCAUGAAAGUCACACUGGAACUGAUAAUCCACACUGUCUAGACACUGAAACCGGUGCUGGUUUUAGUGAGCAAGAUGGCAUGGAGAUAGAUCUAGGCCUGUCUGAGGAUUUUGAGGAUGCUGCUUGUGAUGUUCAGACUCAGACAUCUGAGUCUGAUCAUUUUGAUGAUGAACUCCAAGACUCGGUUUCACUCUCUGACAGUUUAUCCCACUGGGCCAUACAAUUUCGUAUUUCCUUGGUCGCUUUGACAGCAUUAUUGGCCAUACUUCGCAUUUACCAUUCUGAUAUUCCAAAGGAUGCUAGGACACUCCUCAGAACUGAGACAGAAUACUCAAUUCUUGAAAGGGCUGGAGGACAGUACCACUAUUUUGGCAUUCUGGCUUCUCUUAGAAAUACAUUGUUAAAGUUCAAACACACGUUAGCAGACAGUUUCACUUUGAAGUUACAAAUCAACAUAGAUGGACUUCCUUUGUUCAAGAGUUCUUGUCUGCAGUUGUGGCCCAUCCUUGGUCUACUAUUAAGUGUUCCCAUGAAGGAACCUGUAGUUAUAGGUUUGUUCUGUGGACCAAAGAAACCAAGUUCAGCAAAAGACUUCCUUGAAGACUUUGUUACAGAGUUACAACAGCUUGAAAAUGGUUUUGAUUUAGAAGGUAAACGGUUAAAUCUCA